UACGAAGGGGGCUAGCGUUGUUCGGAAUUACUGGGCGUAAAGCGCGUGUAGGCGGGUCCUUAAGUCAGGGGUGAAAUCCUGGAGCUCAACUCCAGAACUGCCUUUGAUACUGAGGAUCUUGAGUUCGGGAGAGGUGAGUGGAACUGCGAGUGUAGAGGUGAAAUUCGUAGAUAUUCGCAAGAACACCAGUGGCGAAGGCGGCUCACUGGCCCGAUACUGACGCUGAGGCACGAAAGCGUGGGGAGCAAACAGG
rnacentral:rRNA from 1 species